AACACUGUUAACCUGCGGUACCUGCGGAGGGAUCAUUACCGAGUGCGGGCCCUCUGGGUCCAACCUCCCACCCGUGUUUAUUGUACCUUGUUGCUUCGGCGGGCCCGCCAUUCUGGCCGCUAGGGGGCACCUGCCCCUAUGCCCGCGCCCGCCGAAGACACCUCGAACUCUGUCUGAAGAUUGUAGUCUGAGUGGAAUUACAAAUUAGUUAAAACUUUCAGCAACGGAUCUCAGAUCGGA
rnacentral:misc_RNA from 1 species